rnacentral:rRNA from 1 species
GACGAACGCUGGCGGCGUGCCUAAUACAUGCAAGUCGAACGCAUUUUCUUUCACCGUAGCUUGCUACACCGAAAGAAAAUGAGUGGCGAACGGGUGAGUAACACGUGGGUAACCUGCCCAUCAGCGGGGGAUAACACUUGGAAACAGGUGCUAAUACCGCAUAAUUCCAUUUACCGCAUGGUAGAUGGGUGAAAGGCGCUUUUGCGUCACUGAUGGAUGGACCCGCGGUGCAUUAGCUAGUUGGUGGGGUAACGGCCUACCAAGGCUGCGAUGCAUAGCCGACCUGAGAGGGUGAUCGGCCACACUGGGACUGAGACACGGCCCAGACUCCUACGGGAGGCAGCAGUAGGGAAUCUUCGGCAAAGGACGCAAGUCUGACCGAGCAACGCCGCGUGAGUGAAGAAGGUUUUCGGAUCGUAAAACUCUGUUGUUAGAGAAGAACAAGGAUGAGAGUGGAAAGUUCAUCCCUUGACGGUAUCUAACCAGAAAGCCACGGCUAACUACGU